UACGGAGGGUGCGAGCGUUGUCCGGAAUCACUGGGCGUAAAGGGCGCGUAGGCGGCGCGGGAAGUCAUCGGUGAAAGCUCAGGGCUCAACUCUGAGUCGGCCGGUGAUACUCGCGUGCUUGAGCACUGUAGAGGCAGGUGGAAUUCCGGGUGUAGCGGUGGAAUGCGCAGAUAUCAGGUGGAACACCGGUGGCGAAGGCGGUGGUCUGGGCCGGAACUGACGCUGAGGAGCGAAAGCGUGGGGAGCGAACAGG
rnacentral:rRNA from 1 species